UACAGAGGUCUCAAGCGUUGUUCGGAUUCAUUGGGCGUAAAGGGUGCGUGGGCGGCGAGGCAAGUCUGGUGUGAAAUCCCGGGGCUCAACCCCGGAACUGCACUGGAUACUGCUUUGCUAGAGUACUGGAGAGGGAACUGGAAUUUACGGUGUAGCAGUGAAAUGCGUAGAUAUCGUAAGGAAGACCAGCGGCGAAGGCGAGUUCCUGGACAGUUACUGACGCUGAGGCACGAAGGCCAGGGGAGCAAACGGG
rnacentral:rRNA from 1 species